rnacentral:rRNA from 1 species
AGAGUUUGAUCCUGGCUCAGAUUGAACGCUGGCGGCAGGCUUAACACAUGCAAGUCGAGCGGAAACGAUGGGAGCUUGCUCCCAGGCGUCGAGCGGCGGACGGGUGAGUAACGCGUAGGAAUCUACCCAGUAGUGGGGGAUAGCCCGGGGAAACUCGGAUUAAUACCGCAUACGCCCUACGGGGGAAAGGCCGGGAUCUUCGGACCGGUCGCUAUUGGAUGAGCCUGCGUUGGAUUAGCUAGUUGGUAGGGUAAAGGCCUACCAAGGCGACGAUCCAUAGCUGGUCUGAGAGGAUGAUCAGCCACACUGGAACUGAGACACGGUCCAGACUCCUACGGGAGGCAGCAGUGGGGAAUAUUGCACAAUGGGCGCAAGCCUGAUGCAGCCAUGCCGCGUGUGUGAAGAAGGCCUUCGGGUUGUAAAGCACUUUCAGUAGGGAGGAAGGCUUAUCCUUAAUACGGAUGAGUACUUGACGUUACCUACAGAAGAAGCACCGGCUAACUCCGUGCCAGCAGCCGCGGUAAUACGGAGGGUGCGAGCGUUAAUCGGAAUUACUGGGCGUAAAGCGUACGCAGGCGGUUUGUUAAGCGAGAUGUGAAAGCCCCGGGCUCAACCUGGGAACUGCAUUUCGAACUGGCAAACUAGAGUGUGAUAGAGGGUGGUAGAAUUUCAGGUGUAGCGGUGAAAUGCGUAGAGAUCUGAAGGAAUACCGAUGGCGAAGGCAGCCACCUGGGUCAACACUGACGCUCAUGUACGAAAGCGUGGGGAGCAAACGGGAUUAGAUACCCCGGUAGUCCACGCCGUAAACGAUGUCUACUAGCCGUUGGAGGACUUGAUCCUUUAGUGGCGCAGCUAACGCGAUAAGUAGACCGCCUGGGGAGUACGGCCGCAAGGUUAAAACUCAAAU